rnacentral:rRNA from 1 species
AUUGAACGCUGGCGGCAGGCCUAACACAUGCAAGUCGAGCGGAUGAAGGGAGCUUGCUCCUGGAUUCAGCGGCGGACGGGUGAGUAAUGCCUAGGAAUCUGCCUGGUAGUGGGGGAUAACGUCCGGAAACGGGCGCUAAUACCGCAUACGUCCUGAGGGAGAAAGUGGGGGAUCUUCGGACCUCACGCUAUCAGAUGAGCCUAGGUCGGAUUAGCUAGUUGGUGGGGUAAAGGCCUACCAAGGCGACGAUCCGUAACUGGUCUGAGAGGAUGAUCAGUCACACUGGAACUGAGACACGGUCCAGACUCCUACGGGAGGCAGCAGUGGGGAAUAUUGGACAAUGGGCGAAAGCCUGAUCCAGCCAUGCCGCGUGUGUGAAGAAGGUCUUCGGAUUGUAAAGCACUUUAAGUUGGGAGGAAGGGCAGUAAGUUAAUACCUCGCUGUUUUGACGUUACCAACAGAAUAAGCACCGGCCAACUUCGUG